UGUUCUGUGGUUCAGUUGGUUAAAACGCCAGGCUAGCGAAUACGGAGUCGUGGGUUUGAAUCUCACCAGAACGU
rnacentral:tRNA from 1 species